rnacentral:rRNA from 1 species
CCUGGCUCAGAUUGAACGCUGGCGGCAUGCCUAACACAUGCAAGUCGAACGGCAGCAUAGUCAAGCUUGCUUGACUGAUGGCGAGUGGCGAACGGGUGAGUAACGCGUAGGAAUAUACCUUAAAGAGGGGGAUAACUUGGGGAAACUCAGGCUAAUACCGCAUAAUUUCCGAGGAAAAAAGCUGGGGACCUUCGGGCCUGGCGCUUUAAGAUUAGCCU